CACAAGCCAGGAGGGAGAGAGAGCGCAAAAAAACAGGAGGAAUGGCGGGAGCAGGGAACAGGUUUUUCAAGACACAAGCCUACAGAUGAAACGAGAUAAAUAAACAAGUUUGAUUCAUUGAGGCACCAAACUUGUUUGUGAAAUAUUUUUCGCCACCGGGAACUUCGUGUCAGCCAAGAUUGGCAUCACUUCCUGACAAUCACAAAUCUUCAGAAUCUUCAGUAAUCAGUACAUCACAUAAUCUCUUACUAAAAUGCGUCAUCAGACAUUUGAAUGUUGUCUCUGGAAUUCUCCAAUAAAUUAAGAACAUUUGUCAUGCAUCACUUGUCGACUUUUUUUUUUUUUUUUUACUUUUAGGCCUUUAUCAUCAAAACUCCUAAAGAAUUUUUUAGAUCUACAUGGAGAGGAAUGAUAGAGGUUUGUGUUUUCAAUAGCUGAGUGAUCUGAAGCAGGUUUUGGAUGAUUUGGUUUGUAGAUUUUACUCUGGUUAGAGGAUAUAAAGUGAAAUCUUUGAGUCAGUGUUGCUGUUUUGGUUUUUUUGGG
ensembl:lncRNA